AAUAGAGUUGAAGAAAAUACAAAUUAGUGUGGAGAUAAAGAUGUGCUGGUGCAGUAUAAAUAUCUGAGACCACAGUGAGAAAGUGCACCAGAUCAAGAGCGGCACUGAAGAGGAGACAAGAGAAGGGAUUUAAAAAAAAACAACAACAACAAGAGGGUGAAUGAAAGCAAGAGGAGCAAUCAGAGAAACCUCGAAAGAAAACACAGCAACAGAAAAUUUUAUAUAACACAGUACUGAAAACUGAAAUAGGAAUGGUAAACACAGCAGGAGAAACGCUCUUGGUGUCACUCUUGCUCCUCAGCAGCGGCAUACCAUGUUUUUCUGUGCAUAACAGUGGGGAGUGCUUCUUCAACACCAAAGGAAGCUGUGAACACAUGAGGCAGGUGUAUGGGAUGGGAGAGAGCUGGAUGACCAGUGACUGUUACCAGUGUGUCUGUAUGGAGCCUUUUGGAGUAGGAUGUUGUGACCAUGGAUCUAAACCUGUGGACUAUCCAGGCUGGUGUGAAAUCAACCCUAACUCUUGUACUAGUGUUGCUGUGAUGAGGGCCAAUAAUAAACUACCAUGCAUCUGGGGACAUGACCAGCUCAGACCAGCUGCAGGCCAAGCAUGGAAAUCUGACAAUGAUCCGUUAUUUUGAGGCUAGUACAUAAUGUGCUAUUAAUAGCAAUACAGCUAAUGGCAAUGGCAAUGUGUGAUGUUUAUUUGGAUUCAGUACAUAACGUCCACAUAUAUAAUUUUAUUAUGAGGUUAUAAGAUUUG